AACGAACGUUGGCGGCGUGGAUUAGGCAUGCAAGUCGAACGAAUGUCAGUUUUGUAGCAAUACAGAGCUGGCGGAAGUGGCGAAAGGGGCAGUUAUGCAUGGAUAACCUACCUUGGGGGAUGGGGAUAGCCGUUCUAACGAGCGGGUAAUACCCAGAGAUUCAGCGGAAGGGCAUCCUUCUGCUGGGGAAAUGAAUUUCGCCUCGAGAGGGGUCCAUGUGCUANAGUC
rnacentral:rRNA from 1 species